AGCUUUGCGCAGUGGCAGUAUUGUAGCCAAUGAGGUUUAUCUGAGGCGCGAUUAUUGCUAAUUGAAUUUGGAAAAAAAAAAGG
rnacentral:snRNA from 1 species